AUUGAACGCUGGCGGCAGGCCUAACACAUGCAAGUCGAACGAGUGGCGGACGGGUGAGUAAUGUCCGGGCAAAUGCCUGAGGGAGGGGGACGACAAAUGGAAACGGUAGCUAAUACCGCACACCAUCAGAUGUGCCCAGAUGGGAUGCGCGAGUUGGUGGGGUAAAGGCUCACCUAGGCGACGAUCCCUAGCUGGUCUGAGAGGAUGACCAGCCACACUGGGACUGAGACACGGUCCAGACUCCUACGGGAGGCAGCAGUGGGGAAUAUUGCACAAUGGGAGCAAGCCUGAGUCAGCCAUGCCGCGUGUAUGAAGAAGGCAUUCGGGUUGUAAAGUACUUUCAGCAGGGAGGCGUUACCCGCAGAAGAAGCACCGGCUAACUCCGUGCCAGCAGCCGCGGUAAUUC
rnacentral:rRNA from 1 species